AACGAACGCUGGCGGCGUGCCUAACACAUGCAAGUCGAGCGCGAAAGGAGCAAUCCGAGUAGAGCGGCGCACGGGUGCGUAACACGUGGGUAAUCUGCCUCAGGGUCAGGGAUAACUUUCCGAAAGGUUAGCUAAUACCUGGUAAGCCUACGACCUCCUCGGAGGUUGUGGGAAAAGUAGACCUCUAUUUAUAAGUUUACGCCCAGAGAUGAGCCCGCGGCCCAUCAGCUAGUUGGCGGGGUAACGGCCCACCAAGGCUACGACGGGUAGCUGGUCUGAGAGGACGAUCAGCCACACUGGAACUGAGACACGGUCCAGACUCCUACGGGAGGCAG
rnacentral:rRNA from 1 species